UAAAAUUUAAUAUGUCCUGUUUUGUGAAAAAUAAUGAAGCAGGGAUUAAUUAUCACUGAUGUUAUUUUGGCAAAGUUCCAUUCCAGGGCAAUAAAAAUGAAGGAGAGGAGGAAAGGUCAGGAAAGAAAGCAAAGAAUGGAAUUCUGAAACAAUGGGAGCCACAGUUUCACAAUGAGUCACAAAGAGACAGACACAAUAACCAUUUCUUGAGCAGGAAGUGUAUCAGUAGGAAGCACAAGGAAUUUAUCUACCGAGAUCCCAUCUAUUCUUCCCUGCUUGCUGAAAACCUACCUGUUUUUAAAGUUUGUGUCACAGAGAUGAAACUGUUCUGUACUUCCAGGUUGUAUCAUCCAGUGUAGAAUUUUCCUGGAGUGAAGAAUUUACAGAAGAAGGGGCUAGAGACUAUAAGAGUGAUUGGUUGAGCUCAGAGCAUACAUGUAGUUUACCGGCUGGAGUCAGAACAAGUAGUUGAAGAUCUAAGUAGAAGUUGAACUUGAGAAAAACUGUGGAGUACAACAGAUGGUCUCACAAACGAUGCAUCUAAGAUCACCUAUCAGGAAGAUACACGGGGAAAGAAGAAAGGCCAUAUGAGGAUACAGCAAGAAGGUAGCCAUACACAAGCUAGGAAGAGUCCUCUCCAGAAUACAAACCAGCCAGUGCGUCAGUCUAAGAUGUGCCAGCUUCCAAAACCAUGGGCAAGAAUGUCUUCAUGCUGUGCAUAGAAUAUUCGGGUCCCUCCAGAACUCUUACAUUGAUAUCUUUACAUCACAACAAUGGAGCCCUCAUGAAUAGGCUUAGUGCUUUUCUACUUCUAUGAGUUUGUCCCCAUUCUACCACAUAAGUUUACAGCAAGAAGAAAGUCAUCAGAGAGAAAACUCAUCUUCAACAGACAUCAAAUUUUCUAUUUUAGUCCUAGUCUCCAAAACUGUGAGAAAUGAAUUUCUGUUGUUUAUAAGCCCUUCGGUUUAUGAUAUUUUGUCAUAGUACACCUUAGGGGCAAAAACAUUAUCUAAUUUAGUCACAUAAAAUCAGUUUCCAAGUCAGAAAUAUCAGAUCAGGUGUGACUAUUUAUCAUACCACAGAUCCAACUGUUCACCAAGUCUAGCUGAUUUCCUUUUAAAGCAUCUUUGUACUUCUGCUACCACCUCUGUUGAGAUGGGGCAUGUAGUAUCUCUCGACCAGCAGCACUUUUUUUUCUUCUUCAGCAAUAGAUACCUAUUUAUUUGAGAUUGUUAUGUGGUUGUAUUUUACUGAUUGCUUAGCUUCUCAUGAAAACCUGUGUGUAUGUCCUAGCCUCUUUGACAAGUAAGUAAAAUCAAAUUCUUGAAGCUAAAUUAUUGACUAGUAAGAUACAACUAGAAAUGAUAUGAGUAAUUUGGGAAUGUGUUCUUAAGAAGGACAUGAUGUGCUUUUCUCAUAUUAUUUCUUUUUUUUUGACCAUUUAGAGUAUAGAUGUGAAGGAUGGAAAUAGAAUAAUCAUUUUGAAUCAUAACUUCAUUGCCCAAAGUUGAGAAUGAUAAAGCAAUGAUAUAGAAAAAACAUUUACACCCUUGUCAACUGAGAAACUAUUUUGA